rnacentral:rRNA from 13 species
GGGACUCAUAGGAGACUGCCGGGGUCAACUCGGAGGAAGGUGGGGAUGACGUCAAGUCAUCAUGGCCCUUACGGCCUGGGCUACACACGUGCUACAAUGGUCGGUACAGAGGGUUGCCAAGCCGCGAGGUGGAGCUAAUCUCACAAAACCGAUCGUAGUCCGGAUCGCAGUCUGCAACUCGACUGCGUGAAGUCGGAAUCGCUAGUAAUCGUGAAUCAGAAUGUCACGGUGAAUACGUUCCCGGGUCUUGUACACACCGCCC